rnacentral:RNase_P_RNA from 1 species
CCGGGGAGCUGGGCAGCCGCGCCGUUCGCAAGAAUGUCGAGGAAAGUCCGGGCUCCACGAAACAAGGGUGGCGGGUAACGCCCGCCGGGUGAGGAGGGCUUUCAGGCCCUUCGAAGCUCAGGGAAAGUGCCACAGAGAGCAGACCGCUAACCCCGCUCGUCCCGAGCUUGUCGAAGGAUCGGGUGGGGCAGCAAGGGUGAAAGGGUGCGGCAAGAGCGCACCGCGCUUCCGGUAACGGCAGCGGCAUGGCAAACCCCACCCGGAGCAAGACCGAAUAGGGGCUGCGUCCCGGACGAGUCCAACGACUUGGCCCGGGGGGGUCGGUUUCGGACCCAGGCAGCCCGGGUUGGUCGCUGGAGCGAUGCGGCAACGCAUCGCCGAGAGGAAUGGCUGCCGCCGCGGCGUAAGGUCCCUCGUUAGGGAGACCACGCCAGGUACAGAACCCGGCUUACAGGCUCCCCGGCAUA